GUUCUCACUUCAGCAGUACAUAUACUAAAAUUGGAACAAUACAAAGAAGAUUAGCAUGGCCUCUGCACAAGGAUGACACACAGAUUCAUGACAUGUUCCUAUUAACA
rnacentral:snRNA from 1 species